AACGAACGCCAGCGGCGUGGAUUAGGCAUGCAAGUCGAACGUGAUCCGUAGCAAUACGGUGAAAGUGGCGGAAGGGUGAGUAAUGCAUAGAUAACCUACCUCCGAGCCUGGGAUAACUCUGGGAAACUGGAGCUAAUACUGGAUGGGGUAGCGGGGUCACCUGGCCCUGAAACUAAUGGCAGCCUCUGAACAUGCUGUCACUCGGAGAGGGA
rnacentral:rRNA from 1 species